UUAAAUUGAAGAGUUUGAUCAUGGCUCAGAUUGAACGCUGGCGGCAGGCCUAACACAUGCAAGUCGAACGGUAACAGGAAACAGCUUGCUGUUUCGCUGACGAGUGGCGGACGGGUGAGUAAUGUCUGGGAAACUGCCUGAUGGAGGGGGAUAACUACUGGAAACGGUAGCUAAUACCGCAUAACGUCGCAAGACCAAAGAGGGGGACCCUCGGGCCUCUUGCCAUCGGAUGUGCCCAGAUGGGAUUAGCUUGUUGGUGGGGUAACGGCUCACCAAGGCGACGAUCCCUAGCUGGUCUGAGAGGAUGACCAGCCACACUGGAACUGAGACACGGUCCAGACUCCUACGGGAGGCAGCAGUGGGGAAUAUUGCACAAUGGGCGCAAGCCUGAUGCAGCCAUGCCGCGUGUAUGAAGAAGGCCUUCGGGUUGUAAAGUACUUUCAGCGGGGAGGAAGGGAGUAAAGUUAAUACCUUUGCUCAUUGAC
rnacentral:rRNA from 1 species